AGAGUUUGAUCAUGGCUCAGGACGAACGCUGGCGGCGUGCUUAACACAUGCAAGUCGAACGAGGUGCUUGCACCUAGUGGCGAACGGGUGAGUAACACGUGAGCAACCUGCCCUUGGCUCUGGGAUAGCCUCCGGAAACGGGGAUUAAUACCGGACAUGACUCCUUGCUGCAUGGCAGGGGGUGGAAAGUUUUUCGGCCAGGGAGGGGCUCGCGGCCUAUCAGCUUGUUGGAGGGGUAACGGCCCACCAAGGCGACGACGGGUAGCCGGCCUGAGAGGGCGACCGGCCACACUGGGACUGAGACACGGCCCAGACUCCUACGGGAGGCAGCAGUGGGGAAUAUUGCACAAUGGGGGAAACCCUGAUGCAGCGACGCCGCGUGCGGGAUGAAGGCCUUCGGGUUGUAAACCGCUUUCAGCAGGGGCGAAUUUGACGGUACCUGCAGAAGAAGCGCCGGCUAACUACGUGCCAGCAGCCGCGGUAAUACGUAGGGCGCAAGCGUUGUCCGGAAUUAUUGGGCGUAAAGAGCUCGUAGGCGGCCUGUUGCGUCCGCUGUGAAAUCCCGGGGCUUAACCCCGGGCCUGCAGUGGAUACGGGCAGGCUGGAGGCAGGCAGGGGAGAACGGAAUUCCCGGUGUAGCGGUGAAAUGCGCAGAUAUCGGGAGGAACACCGGUGGCGAAGGCGGUUCUCUGGGCCUGUACUGACGCUGAGGAGCGAAAGCGUGGGGAGCGAACAGGAUUAGAUACCCCCGUAGUCC
rnacentral:rRNA from 1 species